UUUAACUUGGAGAUGGAUGUACCACAGGCAUGAUGGCUUCACUCACUGCUUCCCCAGCUCAACUUGGCUUAUCUUCCCCACAGCCAUACAGUGGCAGUGACUCUAGGUUCCCUCUCUCACACGUGCAACUCAUGCAACUCUUCAUUCGGUACAGACUCUGGAGCAGGAAUUUUGUGCUUAUGAAGAUGAAAGCCCCUUACUAAGGAUGGAAGAGCAGAAAGAUACAAGAAGCUCGGGACUUUCUUGACUCUCUGGACACGCUGGACCAGGUCUUUACUUGGGCUCAUUGUUAGAUUGGCUAAUUAUAGCUGUCUCCUGACCAAUGAGCUCUUCCCUGAGGAAAAAGCUUGUCGUCUGCUCUUCUAAAGCCAGGGACACCUUGUUCAGGUUCUGACACAUAGGAAGUCCACAACACACUUCUCUUGAAUUGAGCUGGAUUAGAGGAGUUCAAACUUGCAGCAUAA